rnacentral:rRNA from 1 species
UGCCAGCCGCCGCGGUAAGACGAACCGUACGAACGUUAUUCGGAAUUACUGGGCUUAAAGGGUGCGUAGGCUGCACGGAAAGUUGGGUGUGAAAGCCCUCAGCUCAACUGAGGAAUUGCAUCCAAAACUGCCGUGCUUGAGGGAGACAGAGGUGAGCGGAACUCAAGGUGGAGCGGUGAAAUGCGUUGAUAUCUUGAGGAACACCGGUGGCGAAAGCGCUCUACUGGACCAUUACUGACACUCAGAGGCGAAAGCUAGGGUAGCAAAAGGGAUUAGAUA